rnacentral:lncRNA from 1 species
GACAAAUCCAUGGGCCUCUGCUCAGCACAAAUGUUAAGGAACCGUAUCCUAUCCUCUCUUCUCAAAAGGGAUCUCUAAGAAUGUGCAUGUCCAUUUUUACACUGUCUUUCACUUUAGCGCUCUGCUAGGUGCUUUCUGCAGACAAUCCUGCUACAAAAGCAAGACUGACCAAAAAUACAGAAGCUCACUCUUGUAGGAGGGCACCCGUGACCCCGGGGGGUGACCAACGCUUUUUGGGUUUUCCUAAAAACCCUCAAGAAGACUUUUGUCCCCAUUCUGUUGAUAAGGAAACAGAAAUCCACUGAGGACUAGCAAAACUUGGGGAGAAGUCCAACCUCAAAUCCUGUGCCCCAUCCGCUCUGCCUCGCAAUCAUCGUUCAGAACAGAAGAUGCACAGCGUUCACUCAUGGCUGUACCCAGGCGACAUUGCAUGACACCCCAGCGUGUCUCAAAUGAUCUCUAGAGAUAUUAAGAAAUCCUCAAGUUGUCCUCAAAUAAUUUAAAAAAAGAGAGAGAGAAAAAAAUCACCUCACUUGGGUUUCAGAAUGAGCAUGUACCCUGUACGAACGUGACUAUUUGGUCAAGUGAUAAGGCUAGUGAACAUAGAAAAAAUGGGGGUGUCCAAAGUCCCGAAGAUUGGAAGUCCUUUUAGUGCAUGACUCUUAAUGGCUUUCCUGAUUUGUCAUUGUAAAGAUUCCCACACUCUUCAACCUGGGGCACCUGGAUGGCUUGGUCGGUUAAGUGUCUGCCUUUGGCUCAGUCAUGAUUCUGGAGUCCUGCACUCGAGCCCCUCAUCAGGCCCCCUCUGUACUCCCCCCCAUCUCAUGCUCUCUCUCAUGUGUUCUCGCUCUCUCUCAA